UACGGAGGGUGCAAGCGUUGUUCGGAAUUACUGGGCGUAAAGGGCGCGUAGGCGGUCUUUUAAGUUAGGCGUGAAAGCCCCAGGCUCAACCUGGGAACUGCGCUUAAUACUGAAGGACUUGAGUGCGAGAGGGGAAAGUGGAAUUCCUAGUGUAGAGGUGAAAUUCGUAGAUAUUAGGAAGAACACCGGUGGCGAAGGCGACUUUCUGGCUCGCAACUGACGCUGAGGCGCGAAAGCGUGGGGAGCAAACAGGAUUAGAUACCCUGGUAGUCCACGCUGUAAACGAUGAAUGCUAGACGUUUGUAGGUUCGCCUAUGAGUGUCGCAGCUAACGCAUUAAGCAUUCCGCCUGGGGAGUACGGUCGCAAGAUUAAA
rnacentral:rRNA from 1 species